rnacentral:rRNA from 1 species
GAUGAACGCUAGCUACAGGCCUAACACAUGCAAGUCGAGGGGCAGCAUGGGAGAAGCUUGCUUUUCCCGAUGGCGACCGGCGAAUGGGUGAGUCACGCGUGUCCAACCUGCCCCCGGCCCGGGGAUAGCCCUUGGAAAUGAGGAUUAAGACCCGAUACGUGGCGUUUCCGCAUGGCGGCGCCAUGAAACCGGCAGGGGAUGGGGACGCGUCGGAUUAGCUUGACGGCGGGGCGACGGCCCACCGUGGCGACGAUCCGCAGGGGUUCUGAGAGGAAGGUCCCCCACACUGGCACUGAGACACGGGCCAGACUCCUACGGGAGGCAGCAGUGAGGAAUAUUGGUCAAUGGCCGAGAGGCUGAACCAGCCAAGUAGCGUGCAGGACGACGGCCCUACGGGUUGUAAACUGCUUUUGCGGGAGGAUAAAGGACGCCACGUGUGGCGUUUUGCAGGUAUCCCGUGAAUAAGGACCGGCUAAUUCCGUGCCAGCAGCCGCGGUAAUACGGAAGGUCCGGGCGUUAUCCGGAUUUAUUGGGUUUAAAGGGAGCGCAGGCGGGCCUGCCAAGCGUGCCGUGAAAGCGCGGGGCUCAACCCCGUAGAGCGGCGCGAACUGGCGGCCUUGGUUGCGGGAAGGGGAGGCGGAACUCGUGGUGUAGCGGUGUAAAUGCAUAGAUAUCACGAAGGAACUCCAGAUCGCGAAGGCAGCCUCCCUGGCCCGUGAACUGACGCUCAUGGCUCGAAGGCGCGGGGAUCAAAUAGGAUUAGAUACCCCUAGUAGUCCACGCCGUAAACGUUGAAUACUAAGUGUCGGAGUUAUUCGGUGCUGAAGUUAACACAUUAAGUAUUCCACCUGAGUAGUACGGUCGCAAGGCUGAAACUCAAAGGAAUUGACGGGCACCCGCACAAGCGGUGGAGCAUGCUGUUUAAUUCGAAGAUACGCGAAGAACCUUACCUGGGCUUGACAUCCCACUGACCGUCUUAGAGAUAAGAUUUUCCCUUCGGGGACAGUGGUGACAGGUGGUGCAUGGUUGUCGUCAGCUCGUGUCGUGAGAUGUUCGGUUAAGUCCGAUAACGAGCGCAACCCUUAUCAUUAAUUGCUAACAUUCAGUUGAGAACCUUAAUGAUACUGCCGGUGACAAACCGGAGGAAGGUGGGGAUGACGUCAAAUCAUCAUGCCCCUUACGUCCAGGGCUACAGGCGUGCUACAAUGGCUGGUAUAAUAAGACGCAAGACCGCGAGGUUGAGCAAAUCUCUAAAGCCAGUCCCAGUCCGGAUUGGAGUCUGCAACUCGACUCCAUGAAGUUGGAAUCGCUAGUAAUCCCGAAUCAGAAUGUCGGGGUGAAUACGUUCCCGGGUGUUGUACACACCGCCCGUCACGCCAUGGGAGUCGGUAAUACCCGAAGGUGGUAGCCUAACCCGCAAGGGAGGGGGCCAAUUAAGGUAGGACCGGUGACUGGGGUG